GACGAACGCUGGCGGCGUGCUUAACACAUGCAAGUUGAACGGAAAGGCCCUGCUUUUGUGGGGUGCUCGAGUGGCGAACGGGUGAGUAACACGUGAGUAACCUGCCCUUGACUUUGGGAUAACUUCAGGAAACUGGGGCUAAUACCGGAUAGGAGCUCCUGCUGCAUGGUGGGGGGUGGAAAGUUUCCGCGGUUGGGGAUGGACACGCGGCUUAUCAGCUUGUUGGUGGGGUAGUGGCUUACCAAGGCUUUGAGGGGUAGCCGGCCUGAGAGGGUGACCGGCCACAUUGGGACUGAGAUACGGCCCAGACUCCUGCGGGAGGCAGCAGUGGGGAAUAUUGCGCAAUGGGCGGAAGCCUGAUGCAGCAACGCCGCGUGCGGGAUGACGGCCUUCGGGUUGUAAACCGCUUUCGCCUGUGACGAAGCGUGAGUGACGGUAAUGGGUAAAGAAGCACCGGCUAACUACGUG
rnacentral:rRNA from 1 species